GCUGUCGUCAGCUCGUGUUGUGAAAUGUUGGGUUAAGUCCCGCAACGAGCGCAACCCUUAUCCUUUGUUGCCAGCGGUCCGGCCGGGAACUCAAAGGAGACUGCCAGUGAUAAACUGGAGGAAGGUGGGGAUGACGUCAAGUCAUCAUGGCCCUUACGACCAGGGCUACACACGUGCUACAAUGGCGCAUACAAAGAGAAGCGACCUCGCGAGAGCAAGCGGACCUCAUAAAGUGCGUCGUAGUCCGGAUUGGAGUCUGCAACUCGACUCCAUGAAGUCGGAAUCGCUAGUAAUCGUGGAUCAGAAUGCCACGGUGAAUACGUUCCCGGGCCUUGUACACACCGCCCGUCACACCAUGGGAGUGGGUUGCAAAAGAAGUAGGUAGCUUAACCUUCGGGAGGGCGCUUACCACUUUGUGAUUCAUGACUGGGGUGAAGUCGUAACAAGGUAACCGUAGGGGAACCUGCGGUUGGAUCACCUCCUUACCUUAAAGAAGC
rnacentral:rRNA from 7 species